AUUGAACGCUGGCGGCAGGCCUAACACAUGCAAGUCGAGCGAGCGGCGGACGGGUGAGUAAUGUAUGGGGACUGCCCGAUAGAGGGGGAUAACUACUGGAAACGGUGGCUAAUACCGCAUACUAUCGGAUAACCCAUAUGGGAUUAGCUAGUAGGUGGGGUAAGGGCUAACCAAGGCGACGAUCUCUAGCUGGGUUGAGAGGAUGAUCAGCCACACUGGAACUGAGACACGGCCCAGACGCCAAGGGAGGCAGCAGUGGGGAAUAGUGCACGAUGGGCGGAAGCCUGAUGCAGCCAUGCCGCGUGUAUGAGGAAGGCCUUAGGGUUGUAAAGGACUUUCAGCGGGGAGGCGUUACCCGCAGAAGAAGCACCGGGUAACGCCGUGACAGCCGCCGCGGUAAUUC
rnacentral:rRNA from 1 species